UAAGAGAAUAGAGAAAACCUCACUGUUGUC
rnacentral:piRNA from 1 species